UAAAUAAGAAAUAAAAUUUAUAUUUAGUUUCGACCUAAAAUUUUGAUCUUUGAUCCUUAUUU
rnacentral:tRNA from 1 species